CAACCCUCAAGCACUGCUUGGUGUUGGGGCAUUGCGGCCUGCCGCAAGCCCUGAAAAAUAGUGGCGGGCUCGCCGUAACUCCGAGCGCAGUAAUUUAUCUCGCUUUGGAAGAGUGGUGGGUGCUAGCCGUUAAACCCCCUAUUUUAUAAGG
rnacentral:misc_RNA from 1 species